AUCCAACUAAGGAGUCUCAAAUAGGACGAAACGCGCGUCAAAAUGGAU
rnacentral:hammerhead_ribozyme from 1 species